AUUUCCCCAUCAGUUUUACAUAUAGUUUAUCUGUGAUGGAGAGGGAGGGUUCAGUCCCUGAUGGGUCUUCUGAUGUUACAUUUGACUCAUUGGAGCAGAGCAAAGUUAAUGCAUUGGAUAUCAUUUCAUCCCUGGUAUAACCAGGAGCACAAGGCCAGUCUGAUUGGCUCUGCUAGUUCGCUGUCAUGCAGCAAUGCCAGAGAGGAAAAACCACUUCACGACGGUUAAACAAACCUGACCCAACUUUUCUCUCUUCCUGCUUGAUUUCGCGCAUUUUGAUAUAAUUUCACAAACCGUGUCGCGGGCCGUUUUUAAACUGAUCCCGGCCCACUAAUUAUUGGUUUGAUGACAACGUUGUUCAGUCAACCUGGUAACUUGGCAGUAGGUUUAGACACAUCUGAUUGGCCCCUGAAGAAAGGAAAAUGCAGUAUUCUAUUAUAGUGAACAGGGUGUAGUUAAUUCAAUGUGUUGUAUUAGUAGCUGUGUGAAUAUCAGGGAACAGUGUGAAUAUCAGGGAACAUUGUGUAGCUGUGUGAAUAUCAGGGAACAGUGAGUAGCUGUGUGAAUAUCAGGGAACAGUGAGUAGCUGUGUGAAUAUCAGGGAACAUAUUUUGUGUAGCUGUGUGAAUAUCAGGGAACAGUGAGUAGCUGUGUGAAUAUCAGGGAACAGAUUUUGUGUAGCUGUGUGAAUAAUCAGGGAACAGAUUUUGUGUAGCUGUGUGAAUAUCAGGGAACAGAUUUUGUGUAGCUGUGUGAAUAUCAGGGAACAGAUUUUGUGUAGCUGAUGCCCUAACAUUUAUUAAACAGGAACACGUGUCGGGGGAUGGGGACGAACAGGACGCUAGGCCACUCUGAACACCUGGGUCAGUGGUAUCUAGUUCUGGGGAGCUGGGUUCCUUGGGUCAGUGUGGGAUUCAUCCCAAAUUGCACCCUAUUCCCUUUAUAAUGCACUAUGGGCCCAUAGGGCUCUGAUCUAAACUAGUGCCCUGAAUAGGGAAUAGGGUGCCAGGCAUGGUGUCCUCUCCAGUUAUGACCUGCCCUCCCUUCUCUCCACUCACUCCCCUCUCUCCCGAACAAGGCCUAUUCUGCUAUUGGAUAGAAUAGCCAAGCUCUAAUACAGAGAUGAUGCCUGUGGUUUCUCUAUCAUGGUUUUAAACUGGGAAAGAUUUGGCUCUGAUGAAACUCAAUGUAGCCCUGUGGUGGAGGCUGAAGGUGUCUAUUGACAGCUGGAACAGUGAUACAUUAGAUUGAUACUUUAUUGGUUCCAGAUCUAACUCCCUCAUUAUACUGAGAGUUGAUUGGUUCCAGAUCCAACUCCAUCAUUAUACUGAGAGUUGAUUGGUUCCAGGUCCAACUCUCUCUGUAUACUGAGAGUUGAGUGUGUGUGUGUGCGCCAAAUGAGCACAUCUCUUCUGGAGCACAGCACAGUGGGAUGUAGCUAGUUCUACAGCCAGUAAAGCCAGCCGUAAAGCCAGCCCUGCAGCCUGUAAAGCCAGCCCUGCAGCCUGUAAAGCCAGCCCUGCAGCCUGUAAAGCCAGCCCUGCAGCCUGUAAAGCCAGCCCUGCAGCCUGUAAAGCCAGC
ensembl:lncRNA